UAUGACUAUAUCAAGUUGAAACACCAGUACCUGUAUGAUCACCAGAGUUAAGCAACAUUGAGCCUGGUCAAUACCUAAAUGGGUGACUGCUUGGGAAUACCAGGUGCUUCA